UCCGAAUUGGUGUAGUGGCUAACAUUUGACGUCUUCAUUGUCGUAACUGCAGUGAACCGUCAAGCGCGGGGUUCGAUUCCCUGGUUCGGAA
rnacentral:tRNA from 1 species